GGACCGGCUUCCUUGAGUUGCAUAGGCUUUCAGAAAGCUCCAGACGGACUAAUCGUUCUUGGAGAGUUGGUACUUAAGAACAAGAUCAUUGUAUAUGAUCUUGGUCAGCAACGUAUCGGGUGGACUCCCUAUGAUUGCUCCCAGCCGAUGAACGUAUCUAUCGCGCCGAGUCCCCCACUACAUCACAAGGGAGAAGCCAGCUCGUCUAGGAGACUGGGAGUAUGCAGUCUAGUAUUAGUAUAUAUUUUAUUGUAUUUGUUCGAUAUUUAGAUGUAUUAUGUUGGACUUGGAAC